rnacentral:lncRNA from 1 species
GGAGAACUUCAUCCACCAAGUAGUCAAUGAUGGGGUCUAUUCAGGUUGGCUCUUGUUCCAUUGGUAGAGCCUUCUUUGCAUUGCUUUCUCAAGGUAUUCUAUGUACAUCUUUCCAUGCCCGUCAUAUCCCAGGGUGGUGAUGUGGGAUAAGGUGUCUAUCCGAGCAUUCUCCACCCUCAGAAUAUGAGCAAUCUCAAAAUAGUCGAAAGAUGAUUGUAAAGCUUAUAGCUUUUGGAG